ACGGGUGAGUAAUACAUCGGAACGUGCCCUGGAGUGGGGGAUAACGUAGCGAAAGUUACGCUAAUACCGCAUAUUCUGUGAGCAGAAAAGCAGGGGAUCGCAAGACCUUGCGCUUUAGGAGCGGCCGAUGUCGGAUUAGCUAGUUGGUGAGGUAAAGGCUCACCAAGGCGACGAUCCGUAGCGGGUCUGAGAGGAUGAUCCGCCACACUGGAACUGAGACACGGUCCAGACUCCUACGGGAGGCAGCAGUGGGGAAUUUUGGACAAUGGGCGCAAGCCUGAUCCAGCCAUGCCGCGUGAGUGACGAAGGCCUUCGGGUUGUAAAGCUCUUUCGGCGGGGAAGAAAUAGCGUGGGUUAAUACCCUGCGUUGAUGACGGUACCCGCAUAAGAAGCACCGGCUAACUACGUGCCAGCAGCCGCGGUAAUACGUAGGGUGCGAGCGUUAAUCGGAAUUACUGGGCGUAAAGCGUGCGCAGGCGGUUGUAUAAGUCAGAUGUGAAAUCCCCGGGCUCAACCUGGGAACUGCAUUUGAGACUGUACGGCUAGAGUUUGGCAGAGGGGGGUGGAAUUCCACGU
rnacentral:rRNA from 1 species